rnacentral:rRNA from 1 species
GAUGAACGCUGGCGGCGUGCCUAAUACAUGCAAGUCGAGCGAAUGGAUUAAGAGCUUGCUCUUAUGAAGUUAGCGGCGGACGGGUGAGUAACACGUGGGUAACCUGCCCAUAAGACUGGGAUAACUCCGGGAAACCGGGGCUAAUACCGGAUAACAUUUUGAACCGCAUGGUUCGAAAUUGAAAGGCGGCUUCGGCUGUCACUUAUGGAUGGACCCGCGUCGAAUUAGCUAGUUGGUGAGGUAACGGCUCACCAAGGCAACGAUGCGUAGCCGACCUGAGGGGUUGAUCGGCCACACUGGGACUGAGACACGGCCCAGACUCCUACGGGAGGCAGCAGUAGGGAAUCUUCCGCAAUGGACGAAAGUCUGACGGAGCAACGCCGCGUGAGUGAUGAAGGCUUUCGGGUCGUAAAACUCUGUUGUUAGGGAAGAACAAGUGCUAGUUGAAUAAGCUGACACCUUGACGGUACCUAACCAGAAAGCCACGGCUAACUACGUGCCAGCAGCCGCCGUAA